CCUACGGGUGGCAGCAGUGAGGAAUAUUGGUCAAUGGACGAGAGUCUGAACCAGCCAAGUAGCGUGAGGGAUGACUGCCCAAUGGGUUGUAAACUUCUUUUGUCAAGGAAUAAAACGAGGCACGUGUGCCUUUUUGCAUGUACUUUAUGAAUAAGGAUCGGCUAACUCCGUGCCAGCAGCCGCGGUAAUACGGAGGAUCCGAGCGUUAUCCGGAUUUAUUGGGUUUAAAGGGAGCGUAGAUGGGUUGUUAAGUCAGUUGGGAAAGUUUGCGGCUCAACCGUAAAAUUGAAAUUGAUACUGGCAGUCUCGAGUACAGUUGAGGUAGGCGGAAUUCGUGGUGUAGCGGUGAAAUGCUUAGAUAUCACGAAGAACCCCGAUUGCGAAGGCAGCUUACUAAACUGUGACUGACAUUGAGGCUCGAAAGUGUGGGUAUCAAACAGGAUUAGAUACCCUUGUAGUC
rnacentral:rRNA from 1 species